UGAUUUCGGUGACUUCCUCUUUCGGUCC
rnacentral:piRNA from 1 species